UAUGUAUUCCCUCCGUCUCAAAAUUCUUGUCUUAGAUUUAUCUAGAUAUGGAUGUAUCUAAUAAUAAAAUGUGACUUGAUACAUCCAUAUCUAGACAAAUUUAAGACAGCAUUUUAGGACGGAGAGGGUUAUUAC
rfam:Triticum aestivum genome assembly, contig: Triticum_aestivum_CS42_TGACv1_scaffold_289867_4AL